rnacentral:misc_RNA from 1 species
GGAAAAAUAAAGUUGCUAAAGGUGUUUGAUCUUGAAAAGCAAAUGAAAAUUUGUAUUCAAGCCCUCAAAAGAGACUCGAAUGCGAUAAAUUAUUCAACGGGUUCCCACCAAUCUGCUAAUGUAGCAACAAAGGAAGAUGUCGCUUUCAAGAUUAGGCCUUAAAGCAACGAACAAGAAAGGGAAAUCAAAGGAUAAGGCCUGAGGUUAGUGUCUUUAACAUAAAGGAAUGCUAUUGAUUCACGGAACUGGCUUUCUUUUAAUACGAGGAAUAUGUAAGAAGGAGAAGCUAGCCAAUGACUAAUAUAUAACGCUUAUCGGCAGAAACAUG